rnacentral:rRNA from 1 species
GAUGAACGCUAGCGGGAGGCCUAACACAUGCAAGCCGAGCGGUAUUGUUUCUUCGGAAAUGAGAGAGCGGCGUACGGGUGCGUAACACGUGUGCAACCUGCCUUUAUCUGGGGGAUAGCCUUUCGAAAGGAAGAUUAAUACUCCAUAAUAUAUUGAACGGCAUCGUUUAAUAUUGAAAGCUCUGGCGGAUAGAGAUGGGCACGCGCAAGAUUAGCUAGUUGGUGAGGUAACGGCUCACCAAGGCGAUGAUCUUUAGGGGGCCUGAGAGGGUGAUCCCCCACACUGGUACUGAGACACGGACCAGACUCCUACGGGAGGCAGCAGUGAGGAAUAUUGGUCAAUGGGUGCAAGCCUGAACCAGCCAUCCCGCGUGAAGGACGACUGCCCUAUGGGUUGUAAACUUCUUUUGUAUAGGGAUAAACCUACCCUCGAGAGGGUAGCUGAAGGUACUAUACGAAUAAGCACCGGCUAACUCCGUG